rnacentral:rRNA from 1 species
UGGGGAAUAUUGCACAAUGGGCGAAAGCCUGAUGCAGCAACGCCGCGUGCGGGAAGACAGCCCUAGGGUUGUAAACCGCUUUCAGCAGGGAAGAAACUGACGGUACCUGCAGAAGAAGAUGCGGCCAACUACGUGCCAGCAGCCGCGGUGACACGUAGGCAUCAAGCGUUAUCCGGAUUUAUUGGGCGUAAAGAGCUCGUAGGCGGUUCGGUAAGUCGGGUGUGAAACUCUGGGCUCAACCCAGAGAGGCCACUCGAUACUGCUGUGACUAGAGUGCGGUAGGGGAGCGGGGAAUUCCUGGUGUAGCGGUGAAAUGCGCAGAUAUCAGGAGGAACACCAGUGGCGAAGGCGGGUCUCUGGGCCGGAACUGACGCUGAGGAGCGAAAGCGUGGGGAGCGAACAGGAUUAGAUACCCUGGUAGUCCACACCGUAAAACGAUGAAUGCCAGUCGUCGGGUAGCAUGCUAUUCGGUGACACACCUAACGGAUUAAGCAUUCCGCCUGGGAGUACGGUCGCAAGA